UCCAAUUCCGGGAGAAGGUUCGGAGGUGA
rnacentral:piRNA from 1 species